UGGCGGACGGGUGAGUAAUGUCUGGGAAACUGCCCGAUGGAGGGGGAUAACUACUGGAAACGGUAGCUAAUACCGCAUAACGUCGCAAGACCGAAGAGGGGGACCUUCGGGCCUCUUGCCAUCGGAUGUGCCCAGAUGGGAUUAGCUAGUAGGUGGGGUAACGGCUCACCUAGGCGACGAUCCCUAGCUGGUCUGAGAGGAUGACCAGCCACACUGGAACUGAGACACGGUCCAG
rnacentral:rRNA from 1 species